rnacentral:rRNA from 1 species
GACGAACGCUGGCGGCGUGCCUAAUACAUGCAAGUCGAACGCAUUUUCUUUCACCGUAGCUUGCUACACCGAAAGAAACUGAGUGGCGAACGGGUGAGUAACACGUGUGUAACCUGCCCAUCAGCGGGGGAUAACACUUGGAAACAGGUGCUAAUACCGCAUAAUUCCAUUUACCGCAUGGUAGAUGGAUGAAAGGCGCUUUUGCGUCACUGAUGGAUGGACCCGCGGUGCAUUAGCUAGUUGGUGGGGUAACGGCCUACCAAGGCUGCGAUGCAUAGCCGACCUGAGAGGGUGAUCGGCCACACUGGGACUGAGACACGGCCCAGACUCCUACGGGAGGCAGCAGUAGGGAAUCUUCGGCAAUGGACACAAGUCUGACCGAGCAACGCCGCGUGAGUGAAGAAGGUUUUCGGAUCGUAAAACUCUGUUGUUAGAGAAGAACAAGGAUGAGAGUGGAAAGUUCAUCCCUUGACGGUAUCUAACCAGAAAGCCACGGCUAACUACGUG